AAAAAGGUUCCGGUCUUCAUCCCUUCCAUUUCCAAAGGACGACGCUCUCACCAUUCACGAACGGCGACUGCGGAUCGAUCGUGCGUCGUCUCCUGCGCCGGCCUCCCUUCCAGUCAGACCAAAAAAGGCUCUGUGGUUAGACUUAGACGCAGAAAUGCGAAAACGGAGAGGCGAGCUCGGCCCGUGCUCGCUCACCUCGGCGCGACGGAGUGGGCGGGGACGGCGCCCGCUGGCAGGAGUGAGAGUGGGAGCUGGGGCGCCGUUGCUUCGCCGGUGCUCGCGACCCACCGCCGUGCAGCAUCGCUUCCGCCUCCGCUUCUCCUGUCUUAAUAUAAAGCAUACAAACAUGUAAAAACCACAUAUCAUUCGUUUCAGCAACAAGUUUCAGAUAGUGUCUUCAGUGCCAUGGCGCCGCUACGCCAGGGAGCAAGUCGGUCCGCCAUGGCUGGGUGGGGCAUGUACCACGGACUGAAACAUAAACCAACGCAAAUCCAAUGAUUGUAAAACAUCAGUUUCGAUGGACAAAAAUAUUUUCCUAUGGAAUAUAUUACAUACUAGACUGACUAUUAAAUUCUAAAAUUCGUUUACAGGUUCAAACAAGGGACGAUACGCAUCGGACAAGAAAUGGACAUCAAAUCCUCCGAGAACUAAAGUUUCACUCAGAUCUUCGUCGACCUUUUGAGUUGCACAAUGUCUAUUUUGCAACAUAUGUAUAAUUAUAUAUGAUGACCUACUCAGCUCUUUGAAAACAAUUUAUGUAAAUAUAACAGCUUAAUUCUACGUAGUGGACAAAAAUGUUGACUCUGAUUACAGCUCAGAUAACUCUAUUUCAUAUAAACAUAUAGCAUCUGCAGUAAUUAAAUUAGAAAAAAUUUCUAACGCGCGCAGGGCGCGCGCCAGUGACUAGUAUUUGUUAGGUCCUCGCAGAUGCUAGCAAGAUGAUAGUGUUGUAGCAUGGAGGACCAUUGUCUCUAGUGUCUGAAAUACGAGACUGGCAUGCAGGUCGAUGUCUGAGCACAGAGCUCGGAAGAUGUGCGUAUCAACCAAUAGGCUGUGGCUGUGCCUGCAAGAUGCCCUGAAGGACGCGCUUCUUGAAAAGUCAGAACUGCAAAGGUGCGCAAACCAAACCUCUGAUUGAAUGCUUCCAUGGCUCAUAGUCCCUAGAUUCUUGUCUCUAUCUGAUAGCCCAUUGUUUACCAUUGUCCGUUCAUGUGUCAGCUUUGCUGCAUCUGAUCACAAUGAUCUCUCAGCUUGUUGUAACAUCGUCUUGACCAUUGUCCAUUGCGCUCAUAUCAGCUACAUACAUGGUUGAAAAACUUGUUAUAAAAAUGUGCCAUUUCAAACACGGAUUCGAUUGUAAUUUGAAAAGUUAAUUUAUACUGUAUUAUCUGAUGCAUCAUUCACUGGAGAAUGGGGGAUAACAGGAUUCGGGCUAAGAACAUCCAUUCUUUUCACCGUGUAUCUCUUUGCAAUCUCAGCCAUUCGAUCUACUAUACUAUCCAUAGAACAUAUUCCAAAGGAGAUAAGCAGCCGGUGCACGCCCCUUGGGAGCCAAAGGAAUAUAUCUGUGUGGGUAUAUGUAGCUUUUCAUCUCCAAUGAUCCUGGAAAGGGAAUUGACUACAUUCCAAUCUUUUCCCCUGCUUGUUCAUGAAAUUCACGAUGUCACAUGAUUUACCGCCACUUAGAUCUGUCAAAAGGCUGCCAUUUCUUCGUUCAGGUGUAUGGGCGUGGAAGGUUUGCAUCCAUCGGAUGUGUUGGACCAGCAUGUUGUAGUUUUGAUUCGUGCUGCGUGCAUCGAGCCAUCAGGAGAUCUCUGCAUCGGAAUCAUAUCUGCACAAAGCCGUCGGAAAGAUGCAGGAUUCCCACUGAUAUUUUGAACCAUCAUCCAGGAGGCUAGGUAUUAGAUUUUAUAUAUACGUGGUCUGUAUUUUGAUUAAUUAAAUCAAAUCAAUCUUAUACCUGGUCUGUGUUUUGUUUAAUUAAAUCAAAUAAAUCUUAAGUUUAUAUUAAAUGUGAUGGUGUUAUUACCUGUUUGUUUA